CCGCGGGGGAUUGGCCUUAGUACGGCGAGUGAAGCGGCAAAAGCUCAAAUUUGAAAUCUGGUACCUUCGGUGCCCGAGUUGUAAUUUGGAGAGGGCAACUUUGGGGCCGUUCCUUGUCUAUGUUCCUUGGAACAGGACGUCAUAGAGGGUGAGAAUCCCGUGUGGCGAGGAGUGCGGUUCUUUGUAAAGUGCCUUCGAAGAGUCGAGUUGUUUGGGAAUGCAGCUCUAAGUGGGUGGUAAAUUCCAUCUAAAGCUAAAUAUUGGCGAGAGACCGAUAGCGAACAAGUACAGUGAUGGAAAGAUGAAAAGAACUUUGAAAAGAGAGUGAAAAAGUACGUGAAAUUGUUGAAAGGGAAGGGCAUUUGAUCAGACAUGGUGUUUUGUGCCCUCUGCUCCUUGUGGGUAGGGGAAUCUCGCAUUUCACUGGGCCAGCAUCAGUUUUGGUGGCAGGAUAAAUCCAUAGGAAUGUAGCUUGCCUCGGUAAGUAUUAUAGCCUGUGGGAAUACUGCCAGCUGGGACUGAGGACUGCGACGUAAGUCAAGGAUGCUGGCAUAAUGGUUAUAUGCCGCCCGUCUUGAACCCACGAACC
rnacentral:rRNA from 1 species